rnacentral:lncRNA from 1 species
UUUCUAAAAAGUACAUACAUAUAUACAUAUGGGUUAUUACAUUUAUAAAAACUACAAGAGGUAGUUACUAUAAUGCAGAAUAUUUCUAACUUCAUCUUUGUUUCAUUAAAGAAUCAUUUUUGCAAACACUCAUCCACUAAGUGGAGGAAGUAACAAAUUCUAGAGUAUCAUCACAAUGAAAAGACUGUACUAUUAUCUAUUUUACUAAAAAACAGCAAAUGUAUGAAGUUUUUAAAAGAUACAAUGAAAAUCAAAUACUUUAAUAUGCAUUUGGUAGUAUACUACAUAUUCAGUUUCUAUAUGAACAUUACAGGGGUAAAGUUUAAAACAGAUAAAAUACAACAGGAGGAACUGUGAUUAUAUUUUAAAACAACUAGAAAAAGGUUACACUGUUCACAGUAGAGUCUCAAAAAUAACUGCUGAUCCAGGACGUGUUAUAUAUUACUAACAAACGAGCAUUUAAAGACACCUAAAGGUAAAUCCAAAGUCAUCUAAUAAUUUUAUAAAUGCCUUAAAAGAGGGGAUUUUCCCUAUUUUGGUGUAGUAACUACAAUAUUUAGAAAAGUUAUCUUUAUAUUGCAGCCGCAAAGCAAAAAAGUUUAACAUUUUAUUCCAGGUAUAACAGUAGCCUACACACAAAGCAGGAUAAUAGUAAUUCAGCUUGUAAAAUUUAAUGAAAUAUCCUAUUAUUUA